ACCCGCCUGCACGAAGUUGGAAUUGCUAGUAAUCGUAGGUCAGCAUACUACGGUGAAUACGUUCCCGGGGCCUUGUACACACCGCCCGUCAAACCAUGAGAGUUGGCAACACCCGAAGUCGGUAGUCUAACCGCAAGGAGGACGCCGCCGAAGGUGGGGUUGAUGAUUAGGGUUAAGUCGUAACAAGGUAUC
rnacentral:rRNA from 1 species